rnacentral:rRNA from 1 species
UACGUAGGGUGCGAGCGUUGUCCGGAAUUAUUGGGCGUAAAGAGCUCGUAGGCGGUCUGUCGCGUCGGCUGUGAAAUCCCGAGGCUCAACCUCGGGUCUGCAGUCGAUACGGGCAAACUAGAGUAUUGCAGGGGAGACUGGAAUUCCUGGUGUAGCGGUGAAAUGCGCAGAUAUCAGGGGGAACACCGGUGGCGAAGGCGGGUCUCUGGGCAAUAACUGACGCUGAGGAGCGAAAGCGUGGGGAGCGAACAGG